AAUCAACGCUGGCGGCGUGCCUCAGACAUGCAAGUCGAACGCGAAAGUCCCCUUCGGGGGGCGAGUAGAGUGGCGCACGGGUGAGUAACACGUAGGUAAUCUACCUUUGGAUUGGGAAUAACAACCGGAAACGGUUGCUAAUACCGAAUAAUGCAGCGGCACCUAGUGGUGACAGUUGUUAAAGCGGGGGAUCGCAAGACCUCGCGUCUGAAGAGGAGCCUGCGGCAGAUUAGCUAGUUGGUAAGGUAACGGCUUACCAAGGCGAUGAUCUGUAGCCGGCCUGAGAGGGCGGUCGGCCACACUGACACUGACAUACGGGUCAGACUCCUACGGGAGGCAGCAGUCGGGAAUUUUGGGCAAUGGGCGAAAGCCUGACCCAGCAACGCCGCGUGAAGGAUGAAAUCCUUCGGGAUGUAAACUUCGCAAGAACGGGAAGAAUAAGUAAGAGUUAAUAUCUCUUAUGAUGACGGUACUGUUUGUAAGCUCCGGCUAACUCCGUGC
rnacentral:rRNA from 1 species